UACGUAGGGGGCAAGCGUUGUCCGGAUUUAUUGGGCGUAAAGAGCUCGUAGGCGGUUUGGUGAGUCGGGUGUGAAAUCUCCACGCUCAACGUGGAGGGGCCACCCGAUACUGCCAUGACUAGAGUCCGGUAGGGGAGUGUGGAAUUCCCGGUGUAGCGGUGAAAUGCGCAGAUAUCAGGAGGAACACCGGUGGCGAAGGCGGAUCUCUGGGCCAUUACUGACGCUGAGGAGCGAAAGCGUGGGGAGCGAACAGG
rnacentral:rRNA from 1 species